rnacentral:lncRNA from 1 species
ACACUCAAUCUCCCUUCCCCCACGAAGGCUGCCUUCUGGAAGGAAUGCUGUUAGCACUGCUUUCGCCUUUCCCGGUCUGAAGUUUCGCUCCUCUGGCCUCCGCCUCAGUCACUGGUAGCAAAACGACGACCCCAUCGCCAGUUUGGAUUCCGUUUCCAAAGAUGAGUCUGAGAAAUAGCGGGGUUGUCGCUGUUAAGAAAAGGGAAGAAGCUGAGCUGACCUCUUCCAUUGUGCUGGGAGCGCCAUCCUUCUACUUUCACUGGUGCUGGGGGUUGGGCCUUUGCCUGUGUGUGUAUCUGCUUCCCGGUGCUACCGCUGACACUUGGCGCAGCGGCCCCCUAGCAGCCGCCAAAGGCCCAGAAGGUGGGUCCGUGCCAUCGGCGGAGAGCUGCGACAGUGACACUCUCUCGACAGCGCGGGCCGGACAGCCACCCACGCUGGGGAGCCUCCGGUAGAUGCCCCUUAGGAGCACCCUACGCAGAUGCAGGGAAAACCGCCUGACAUCAUGGGAGCAGGACAAAUGCUCACUUUGAAGGAUUCCUGGGCAGGACUUCAAGUGAAAUCAUAUGCCUGAGAAGAACUUGAUACUGGUCUAGAGAAAAUAACUAGUUCUGACUUUGCCAAACCAUGGAAUGUGCAAAAUGCUCUACUUUUUUGCAAGAGGCCAAGUGUCCCUUAAAAAAAAAAGCUCCCUUAUGAAUAUGAGACCAAAGACCCCAGGGGCAGGAAGCGUGUGCCAAUCUUCAAUGUGGGAAGAAAGGACACAGGUUGUAUGCGGUUCCCUUUGAGGCUGUUUUAUUAAUGUCUGCACUCUGGGUAAGGGGUCUACAACGGGUGCCCUGAAUUAUCUAUGCAACGCUUAACGUGUGUGUGUGUGUGUGUGCACAGAACCCAGAAAUGUGUGCAAGCGCACAUUUACAGCCAUUAGCCAAGGUUUAUCAAUUAAAGGAAGUAAAAAAAAAAAAAAGACAAAACAAUUAUUUUCACAGUGAAAGCAAAUUCAGUACUUGAGAUGGAAGACCAUUUAACAUAAUUCUUCCCCUGAGCCAAAGCAUUGUGGUUGGGGGACAAAGACUGCUGGAGCCAUGGGACUGUGCGAUAAGAUUUAGCGUCUCUGUGAUGGAACGCUGAAACAGCGUGUGCUUCAGACAAAGGUAACGAUAAUAAAA